rnacentral:rRNA from 1 species
GAUGAACGCUGGCGGCGUGCCUAACACAUGUAAGUCGAGCGAGGGUUUGCUCAGUAUUGAGUAUUCUAAGACUAGAAUGUUCAAUUCUGAGCAAAACCAAGCGGCGGACGGGUGAGUAACGCGUGGGUAACCUGCCCUAUACACAUGGAUAACAUACUGAAAAGUUUACUAAUACAUGAUAAUAUAUAUUUGCGGCAUCGCAGAUAUAUCAAAGUGUUAGCGGUAUAGGAUGGACCCGCGUCUGAUUAGCUAGUUGGUGAGAUAACUGCCCACCAAGGCGACGAUCAGUAGCCGACCUGAGAGGGUGAUCGGCCACAUUGGAACUGAGACACGGUCCAAACUCCUACGGGAGGCAGCAGUGGGGAAUAUUGCACAAUGGGCGAAAGCCUGAUGCAGCAACGCCGCGUGAACGAUGAAGGUCUUCGGAUCGUAAAGUUCUGUUGCAGGGGAA